GCACAGGGAAGGCUGGUCACCCCACCCUAAUCUUAUUAUGCAAAUAGGCUUUCCACCUGGCCAGGACUAUCUUGUCCAUUCCUUACCAUACGUGUGACUGGCAAAAAGAGAAGAUGGAGCCUCCAUUCUGAACAUGCCUAAUCCCAGCUCCAUCUUGCUGAGCAAAAAUGAAGGAACCUGGACCCAUUUUUGUUACUGUGAGAAAGAGUCUUCAUUCAUUCAAGAUGGCAUUUGUUAAGCACCUAUUAUGAGUAGAUGAUUUCCUGUCAACAGUUAACAAAUCCUCAGAAUAUUGCAUCAUGUACAGUUAUUGGUAAUGAGUAACUCACAUUCUCUUAAUUGUAAUGCUUCCUUGGAAAGUCAUCGUGGAAGAUGAAGGCUGGCUCAUACAUUUUCCCAGACAGGAAUUUGGCUGCCAACAGGGAGUUCUGAACAACUGAAAACUCCAGAUGAUGAAUGCACAACAUAAUGAUGGUUAAAUUAAAAAAAAAAAGAACACAACAAACCUUGGAAAUCAAGAAAGUUCUGGAAUGAUGAAGCUGUUCAUGCCAAGACCUAAAGCCCUGGCCCAGUAUGAGUCCAUUCAGUUCAUGCUGUGGUAAUUUUCCUGGAACUUCUUUUUACUGUUAGUUCUCAUUUGUUUCCAUAUUUAGUGAGCGUACACUUAAUUGCAAAGCUGUCAUUAAUAAAAAUUCUUAUAGUACCUCA